rnacentral:rRNA from 1 species
GGGUCAGUAGGUUGGUCGUGCCACCGGUACGUACUGGUCUCACUGAUUCCUCCCUCCUGGAGAACCGUAAUGCCAUUAAUUUGGUGUUGCGGGGAAACAGGACUGUUACUUUGAAAAAAUUAGAGUGUUUAAAGCAAGCUAACGCUUGAAUACAUUAGCAUGGAAUAAUGAAAUAGGACGAUCGAUCCUAUUUUGUUGGUUUCUAGGAUUGACGUA